UACGAAGGGGGCUAGCGUUGUUCGGAAUUACUGGGCGUAAAGCGCACGUAGGCGGAUAUUUAAGUCAGGGGUGAAAUCCCAGAGCUCAACUCUGGAACUGCCUUUGAUACUGGGUAUCUCGAGUCCGGAAGAGGUGAGUGGAAUUCCUAGUGUAGAGGUGAAAUUCGUAGAUAUUAGGAAGAACACCAGUGGCGAAGGCGGCUCACUGGUCCGGUACUGACGCUGAGGUGCGAAAGCGUGGGGAGCAAACAGG
rnacentral:rRNA from 1 species